UGCGUAGGCGGACUAAUAAGUCAGUGGUGAAAUCUUUCGGCUCAACCGAGAAACUGCCAUUGAUACUGUUAGUCUUGAGUUCGGUUGAGGUAGGCGGAAUGUGUAAUGUAGCGGUGAAAUGCUUAGAUAUUACACAGAACACCAAUUACGUAGGCAGCUUACUAGACCGACACUGACGCUGAGGCACGAAAGCGUGGGGAGCGAACAGGAUUAGAUACCCUGGUAGUCC
rnacentral:rRNA from 1 species